rnacentral:rRNA from 1 species
CCUACGGGAGGCAGCAGUGAGGAAUAUUGGUCAAUGGGCGGGAGCCUGAACCAGCCAAGCCGCGUGAAGGAAGAAGGCGCCAAGCGUCGUAAACUUCUUUUGUCGGGGAACAAAGGGCGCCACGUGUGGCGUUGUGAGUGUACCCGAAGAAAAAGCAUCGGCUAACUCCGUGCCAGCAGCCGCGGUAAUACGGAGGAUGCGAGCGUUAUCCGGAUUUAUUGGGUUUAAAGGGUGCGCAGGCGGUCUGUUAAGUCAGCGGUCAAAGCCCGGGGCUCAACCCCGGCCCGCCGUUGAACCUGGCAGUC